rnacentral:rRNA from 1 species
CCUACGGGAGGCAGCAGUGAAGAAUAUUGGUCAAUGGUCGGGAGACUGAACCAGCCAAGCCGCGUGAGGGAUGAAGGUACAGAGUAUCGUAAACCUCUUUUGUCAGGGAACAAAGGCGGGGACGUGUCCCCGGAUGAGUGUACCUGAAGAAAAAGCAUCGGCUAACUCCGUGCCAGCAGCCGCGGUAAUACGGAGGAUGCGAGCGUUAUCCGGAUUUAUUGGGUUUAAAGGGUGCGCAGGCGGUCUGUUAAGUCAGCGGGCAAAGCCCGGGGCUCAACCCCGGCCCGCCGUUGAAACUGGCAGUCUCGAGUUGGAGAGAAGUAUGCGGAAUGCGCGGUGUAGCGGUGAAAUGCAUAGAUAUCGCGCAGAACUCCGAUUGCGAAGGCAGCAUGCCGGCUCCACACUGACGCUGAGGCACGAAAGCGUGGGUAUCGAACAGGAUUAGAUACCCUUGUAGUC